UACGUAGGUGGCAAGCGUUGUCCGGAUUUACUGGGCGUAAAGAGCGCGCAGGCGGUCUUGUAAGUCGAGUGUGAAAGCCCCCGGCUCAACUGGGGAGGGUCAUUCGAUACUGAUCGACUCGAAGGCAGGAGAGGGUAGUGGAAUUCCCAGUGUAGUGGUGAAAUGCGUAGAUAUCGGGAGGAACACCAGUGGCGAAGGCGACUACCUGGCCUGUUCUUGACGCUGAGGCGCGAAAGCUAGGGGAGCAAACGGGG
rnacentral:rRNA from 1 species